rnacentral:rRNA from 1 species
GACGAACGCUGGCGGCAGGCCUAACACAUGCAAGUCGACCGAGCGGCGGACGGGUGAGUAAUGUCUGGGAAACUGCCCGAUGGCGGGGGAUAACUACUGGAAACGGUAGCUAAUACCGCAUACCAUCGGAUGAGCCCAGAUGGGAUUAGCUAGUAGGUGGGGUAACGGCUCACCUAGGCGACGAUCCCUCGCUGGUCUGAGAGGAUGUCCAGCCACACUUGAACUGAGACACGGUCCAGACUCCUACGGUAGGCAGCAGUGGGGAAUAUUGCACAAUGGGCGCAAGCCUGCUGCAGCCAUGCCGCGUGUAUGAAGAAGGCCUUCGGUUUGUACAGUACUUUCAGCGAGGAGGCGUUACUCGCAGAAGAAGCACCGGCUAACUCCGUGCCAGCAGCCGCGGUAAUUC